AGAGCUGUCAGCAAGCUCCAAACCGCGGCUGCCGCCCGGAGGGAAGCAGACGGGGAGUCGGUGGCGGCCGCCGAGUCCGCAUGCGCAGGCUGCAAAGGCCCUUUUGGGCCGGUCCCGCCGCGCUAGGUUGGCGAGUGGGACUAUUUGAUCCUUUCCAGGUUCGCCAGCGUGGUGUUACGAGAGGAAAGCGCAGCCGCAGCGUACGAAUGGGAAGGCCAAACACGGUCCCGGGGAGUCUGAGGGAAGCUGCAGGGCGCCUGGAAUUGGGGUCUCGAGUGAGCCGGUAAAAACCGCCUCCCGCUGAGCGUCCCGGAACAAAUACUGUCUGAACUGAGCCGUAAGCAAGAAACGGUCAGGAGAAGCUGGGGCGAUCUGAUGAUUAGAACAUUUCAGGGACUACCAGAGAGAAGUGCGUAAUUGCUCUAAGGCAGGUAGGUAAUUGGCCUGGAAACUUGGGAACGCCCCGCCCCCCACCCCGACUUUCAGCAAACCACCGUGCCCAGGAAAAAGAGCGAUUGUGGAAGACCCUGUGAAGAAGAGACCAGGAAGGCACUGUGGCUUAAGAGAGCAAGGCGUUCCUGAAUGCAGCCAACAUCAACUGGUAAACAAAAAACUGUGAGAACGGAUCCUGAAUCUUGCGCUUACCAGGGGAAAUUCAGGAGAGAUAUGAACCUGAGCAAGAUGAGGUUGAAGUUACUCAAUGCGGCAUUAAGCCUGUUCACGGCCACUUCCUCCGGCGUCACCAACACACACACUGUACACCAGCAGUAUUUUUACACGGGGUAUGUGUGUUAAGUACUAUCAGGUGGAUAAUUAUUACUUCACCUGUAUUUGCUGCCUUGAUACCAUUAGAGAAACUCAUGAAUUAUAAAUAGCAUAGUGAAUUUGUGAUUCCCUGAAGAUAUACUAAGGUGGACUUUUAAAAAGGCUUCUAUUCCAAAGGGAACUAAUAUGGAGGAAAUGGUUUCGAGAAAGAAAAAAGAAAAAACGGAGUCCUUGAUUAGUUGUGGGGAAGGCAACAUAAUGUAAUGUGAAGAAUAAAGGAGUCAGAUCCAGGAAACCCCAUAACUAUUAUGUAAGUUAUCUUCAUCUGUAAAGUGGUUAGGAUCCUGAUAGUCUCAAAGGUUUGUUUUGAGGUUUCAUGAAGCAGAUAAAUAUUCUUGUAAAUUGUAGAAUGUUAUACCAGUGUUACUCAUUAUUCUAACAAGAGCAGAGUAGUGAAGAGAGGCUCCUUCAGAAAUUCCUUGGGAUUUUUUUUUUUUUGGCUUCUGUUUUUUUAUAUCACAAGGUAGUGUCUCUGAAAAAUGGUAGAUGAUUUCAAUGUCCACAAAUAUGCAGGUGUAGACAUUCAAUUGAGGUACUGUACCCAAGGCAGCCAGCAAAAUGCUGAACAUAGAAAAUAACUUUGUAAACAAAAUGCAAUAUUUCUAGACAGUGAGUUAUCACCAGUGUGCUGCCUAUGACCCUGGCCUUAAGGAAAAAGUAGCAGAGCUGAAGAAGUUCUAAGGAUGGAAAUUAAAAAUUAUUAAGGAGAUAAUAGACUUCGUGUUAUAGGAAAUAAAAAUAGCAAGGGUCUUCAAUGGUGAGUGAUUUUGAGAUUAAUUACAUAACUAUGAAUUCUGUAAUAUUAGAACUAAGCUUUACAAAGCAUUCCUUAAAAAAAGAUAAUUUUACAACAAAGGUAACAUUAGACAGAAAAAAAUGUACAAAACUAAAAUUAAGUGAUUAAUGCUUGGGAAUGUUUCCUCCAAUGUUCAUCUAGUCAUGGUUUUCACGAAUCACUCUUGCCAAUAAAACCGAAAAUCAAAGUAA
rnacentral:lncRNA from 10 species